GGGGAAUAUUGGACAAUGGACGAAAGUCUGAUCCAGCGACGCCGCGUGGAGGAAGAAGUCCUUCGGGAUGUAAACUCAUGAAGCUAACGAAUAAGACGGAAGGGGAACCUUCCGGGAGAAGGUACCUCGAAAACAAGCCACGGCUAACUACGUGCCAGCAGCCGCGGUAAUACGUAGGUGGCAAGCGUUGUCCGGAUUUACUGGGUGUAAAGGGCGCGUAGGCGGGAUAGCAAGUCAGAUGUGAAAUGCCAGGGCUUAACCCUGGAGCUGCAUUUGAAACUGCUGUUCUUGAGUAUCGGAGAGGCAGGCGGAAUUCCUAGUGUAGCGGUGAAAUGCGUAGAUAUAAGGAAGAACACCAGUGGCGAAGGCGGAUUACUGGACGACAACUGACGGUGAGGCGCGAAAGCGUGGGGAGCAAACA
rnacentral:rRNA from 1 species